GGUGGCGCUGGUUGACUCGAGUCCAUGUUAGUGCACACAAAGUAAACUGCACGCUUUAGUUGUGAAGCAAAAACGCUGAAACCGGAGAAAUAAAACGUGCGAGGGGGACGAUAAUGACGACAAGAGUCUCCCGAUCGUUUACUCUUGGUGUCCUGUGAGCAACAUCGGCGUGGUGUUAAUUGUUUGCUGUUUUCGCGAUCGCGUCGCACAUGAGGAUAUCACCAGUUUUACUGUCUACAGUCCCAGAUCAACACAGCCCUGCCCUCCAGCACUAUCAGCAGCGGGAGCAGCAGAAACCCCUCAACAGCAACAUUUUACCCCAUCAGUUACAGAACUGCCUCCGUUCGGGCAUUUACGGAAUCGUGGUUAAACAACAGCGACGACAACAGCACGCUACACAUUGC